rnacentral:lncRNA from 1 species
UUUUGCAGUAUAGCUACCAAGACCCACUCUAGAUGACAUGGCGAGUUGGAGAUGGCCAUAAGAUGGGUGUUAGAUCAGAUGACCCGGAAGUACCCAAAUCGUUCCCAACCUUCCAGCCCCUCACAGAAAAAGAGUGGGGAGAAGCACAGCAUCCCUCUCGGAGAGGUCAGGCCUGUUACGAGAGAACUGGCACGUGGAGAGCAUUCAGAUCAAGCACAUGUUGUAAACCUGGCAUCAGAAUCCUCAGUUGCCCAUUCUUAUGAUACGUUAAAUCGGCUCAACGCUCCUUCCAGCCUCUUUCCACUUAAUACCAUAGCAUGACAAUCUUUCCAUGUGUUCUGCACACUCGUGUUGUUCCAAAGAGGUGGCGUGCCUCCAUUUACCUGACUGUUCUGGCAUUUAUACUUCAUUAAACAACUCUAUAGACCCAGCUCCUUGCGUCUUCAUUGUCCCCAUUGCAGGGGUGUGGAAGUGGUCUACGACCGUGUUUUCAUCACCUCGCCGCACAGAAAGCUUGGACUUCCCCUGAGUUAUCUGGCUGGUGAUUGUUGAUGGUGCUUAUUCUGGGUCUGAGGUUCUCAGGACCCACCCCUGAGAGGGACUCACAAAGACCAGAAAAGCUGUGGACCUUGGAGCUCAUCCGAAAGGGAACAUUCGGCAAGCCUAGUGAAUGUAGGGCCUGCGUUGAAGGAAUUAUGACAGGAAGAGCUUUGCCACCAAACAUGUUAAUAGCUGCUACUGGCUCUACAGAACUUUCCGUUCCUAUCCUACCACCUGUGUAGCGAGCCAAUGAGAGCAGUUGCUUUUUAUGUUGAGCCUAACGAUUGCAGAAUUUCCCCAAGUGUAGGCCAUGGAACACCAGCCACAUGGCAUCCUCUGAGAAAAGAAGAAUGUUGAGUGGUUAAGAAGGUUUAGAGAACACUCUCUCCACUUCUCACGUAUUUAGUUAAGUCUCAGAAUCAGGCAAUAAUAAAAAACACAUUCAGUUUUAGGGGCGCCUGGGU